rnacentral:rRNA from 1 species
GACGAACGCUGGCGGCGUGCUUAACACAUGCAAGUCGAACGGAAAGGCCCUGCUUUUGUGGGGUGCUCGAGUGGCGAACGGGUGAGUAACACGUGAGUAACCUGCCCUUGACUUUGGGAUAACUUCAGGAAACUGGGGCUAAUACCGGAUAGGAGCUCCUGCUGCAUGGUGGGGGUUGGAAAGUUUCGGCGGUUGGGGAUGGACUCGCGGCUUAUCAGCUUGUUGGUGGGGUAGUGGCUUACCAAGGCUUUGACGGGUAGCCGGCCUGGGAGGGUGACCGGCCACAUUGGGUCUGGGCUGCGGCCCAGCCUCCUCCGGGAGGCAGCAGUGGGGAAUAUUGCACAGUGGGCGGAACCAUGAUGCGGCAACGCCGCGUGCGGGAUGACGGGCUUCGGGUUGUAAACCGCUUUCGCCUGUGACGAAGCGUGAGUGACGGUAAUGGGUAAAGAAGCACCGGCUAACUACGUG